rnacentral:rRNA from 1 species
GACGAACGCUGGCGGCGUGCUUAACACAUGCAAGUCGAACGAAGUGGCGAACGGGUGAGUAACGCGUAAUCAACCUGCCCUUCAGAGGGGGAUAACAGUUGGAAACGACUGCUAAUACCGCAUACUGAUGGAGGGGGUUGCGUCUGAUUAGCUAGGUGGCGGGGUAACGGCCCACCAAGGCGAGGAUCAGUAGCCGGGCUGAGAGGAGGGACGGCCACAUUGGGACGGAGACCCGGCCCAGACGUCUACGGGAGGCAGCAGUGGGGAAGCUUCCGCCAUGGAUGAAAGUCUGACGGAGCAACGCCGCGUGAGUGAUGACGGCCGUCGGGUUGUAAAGCUCUGUUAAUCGGGACGCGGUACCGGAAUAGAAAGCCACGGCUAACUACGUGCCAGCAGCCGCGGUAAUUC